CCUACGGGUGGCAGCAGUGGGGAGUAUUGGACAAUGGGGGGAACCCUGAUCCAGCCAUGCCGCGUGUGUGAAGAAGGCCCUCGGGUUGUAAAGCACUUUCAGUGAGGAAGAACGCCUGGUGGUUAAUACCCAUCAGGAAAGACAUCACUCACAGAAGAAGCACCGGCUAACUCCGUGCCAGCAGCCGCGGUAAUACGGAGGGUGCGAGCGUUAAUCGGAAUUACUGGGCGUAAAGCGCGCGUAGGUGGCUUGAUAAGCCGGUUGUGAAAGCCCCGGGCUCAACCUGGGAACGGCAUCCGGAACUGUCAAGCUAGAGUGCAGGAGAGGAAGGUAGAAUUCCCGGUGUAGCGGUGAAAUGCGUAGAGAUCGGGAGGAAUACCAGUGGCGAAGGCGGCCUUCUGGACUGACACUGACACUGAGGUGCGAAAGCGUGGGUAGCAAACAGGAUUAGAUACUCCAGUAGUC
rnacentral:rRNA from 1 species